rnacentral:rRNA from 1 species
AGCAGUAGCCGCGGGAAUACAGAGGGUGCAAGCGUUAAUCGGAUUUACUGGGCGUAAAGGGCGCGUAGGUGGUUAUGUAAGUGAGAUGUGAAAUCCCCGGGCUCAACCUGGGAACUGCAUCUUAUACUGCGUAGCUGGAGUAUGGGAGAGGUGAGUGGAAUUCCUGGUGUAGCGGUGAAAUGCGUAGAUAUCAGGAGGAACACCUGCGGCGAAAGCGGCUCACUGGACCAUAACUGACGCUGAGGCACGAAAGCUAGGGGAGCAAACAGGAUUAGAUACCCCAGUAGUCCCUGUCUCUUAUAC